rnacentral:rRNA from 1 species
UACAGAGGGGGCAAGCGUUGUUCGGAAUUACUGGGCGUAAAGGGCGCGUAGGCGGCCUGCUAAGUCGAACGUGAAAUCCCCGAGCUCAACUCGGGAACUGCGUCCGAUACUGACAGGCUUGAAUCCGGGAGAGGGAUGCGGAAUUCCAGGUGUAGCGGUGAAAUGCGUAGAUAUCUGGAGGAACACCGGUGGCGAAGGCGGCAUCCUGGACCGGUAUUGACGCUGAGGCGCGAAAGCCAGGGGAGCAAACGGG